AUUGAACGCUGGCUGCAGGCCUAACACAUGCAAGUCGAGCGGAGCGGCGGACGGGUGAGUAAUGCCUAGGAAUCUGCCUGGUAGUGGGGGAUAACGCCCGGAAACGGGCGCUAAUACCGCAUACUAUCAGAUUAGCCUAGGUCGGAUUAGCUAGUUGGUGGGGUAAAGGCCUACCAAGGCGACGAUCCGUAACUGGUCUGAGAGGAUGAGCAGUCACACUGGAACUGAGACACGGUCCAGCCUCCUACGGGAGCCAGCAGUGGGGAAUAGUGGACAAUGGGCGAAAGCCUGAUCCAGCCAUGCCGCGUGUGUGAAGAAGUUUUUCGGAUUGUAAAGCACUUGAAGUUGGGAGGCGUUACCUACAGAAUAAGCACCGGCUAACUUCGUGCCAGCAGCCGCGGUAAUUC
rnacentral:rRNA from 1 species